rnacentral:hammerhead_ribozyme from 1 species
AUCCGGCUGACAAAUCCCAAAUAGGACGAAACAUGCGUCAUGUAU